GGACAAACCUCAACAGUACCAGAAACUUCAUAACCUUCAAUUUUUGUCUGAAUCCAUUCAUUCAAAACAAAUGGCCGUGUAGCAUGGAUCAUUAUACUUGAAAGGAAAUUCGUAAAUAUCUGAAUGCACAAACCAAUCAGUGAGUUGUCGUAAUGAUAUGCCUAGUAAGCCAUAAUUUACCUCUCGACCAGCAAGCGUGAGCAACACUGUACCAAGUCCUCCAGCUGUGAGCCACUUUUGUGUGGAGAAACCCAGCAAUUCCAUGAACAGAGAUACAGCAGCAAUCCAGACUGCAGUAUAAACAGCUUUUCCAGCAAAACUAAAGCCCAUCUGCCAAAGCAAGAAAAAACUACUUUAUUCACGCGCUUAAAUCACAAGCGACCUCUCUAUAGCUUUCAAGAGAAUGGCAGGCGUUCCAACAUUUGGAAAUUAUGGCAUGAUCGAAAAAAAAGAAGCAGCUUGCACUGGUUAUUAUGGGAACUCAGUAGAAGGUGAGCUGAUGUAUUGGCUUGAGAAACUUUGUCAUCUGGCUACACA